AUGGAAACGGAAAUCCUGGCUAAAGGUUUACGGCGACGUUAGACUUCCGAGAGCAGCCGCGAUAAAUACAGCACAGCUUCUUUUAUUUUACAGCCACACAAAACAGACGGAAUGUCACCUUUAAACCGAAAUAAAGCUAGAUUUGAUGUAACUACGAGGAACCGUGUGUAUUAAAACGCUACUUUUAUUUUUGUUUAAGGGUUUUCCUGAGUGGUUUCGCACGCACGACGGGUUUGUGGCUGAUCCGCAGGCUUCACACAAAACUGCUCAGCUAACCUGCUAACAACGAAACGGACUAGGUUGGAGAUGUGGUGAUGACUAACUAACCUACUCGUGCAUGCUCCAAAAUGGAAAACCCCUCGGAUAUGCCUAUCCAGACAAGUGACUGGUUGAAAUGUGCUCUUUGUCAGCUAGAUAGCAAGGAAAAGUUAACAUGUCCAACUGAUGCAAGCUACAAAAUCACAACUGAGAACAUCCUUCAGUUUAAUGAACUCAGCUGCAUGCCAGUACAAACAGACAUCACAAGACUGAACCUUGGAAAUGGUGUGGAGUCCACGCUAAAGGAACAGAAUGCAAAAUGGCAUAAAUCCUGUUACUUGAAAUAUUGUCAAAGUAAACUUGAACGUGCAAAGCAUAGGAAGCGCAAAGCUACUGAAGAAUUAACAACCUCAAAGCGUUUUUUUUACACACAGCCGUAGCGGAAAUGGAGACCGUUCCUUAUCUGUGUGCUUCUUUUGUUCCAAACCGGAAACAAAAGAUAAACAUUGUAAAGUGUGCACAUUUCAACUAGACUAUCGUGUCUGGAAGUGUGCCCAUGAGCUCCAAGACAAGGAUCUUCUAGCAAAAUUAAGUGCAGGAGACCUCAUUGCCCUUUAGGCAAAAUACCAUGCAAGAUGUCUAACCUACUUGUACAACAGAACACGUGGGAAAGUCAGUCAGGAGCCAGAUACCUCAAGUGAGCAGAUAUGCAAAGGCAUCGCAUUAUCAGAAUUGAUAUCCUACAUAGAGGAGAAAAGACAUCAACAAGGUUUUCAGACUAGCAGACCUCACCAAGCUAUACACAGAGAAGCUAGAGCAGCUUGGUGUGGAUGUUACUACGUGGGUGCAUAGUACUCACCUUAAGGACCGAAUCCUAACGCAUCUCCCAUGUAUAAAAGUCUACAAAGAAGGGAGGGAUGUGUUCUUGACCUAUGAUGAUGAUGUGGACACUGUCCUACGACAAGGAUACCAGACUGAUCGAGAUGAACAGAGUGUCAUGAUGACUCAAAUUGCUGACACGAUCCGGCAAGACAUUUUUACACA